rnacentral:rRNA from 1 species
UACGAAGGGGGCUAGCGUUGCUCGGAAUCACUGGGCGUAAAGGGUGCGUAGGCGGGUCUUUAAGUCAGGGGUGAAAUCCUGGAGCUCAACUCCAGAACUGCCUUUGAUACUGAAGAUCUUGAGUUCGGGAGAGGUGAGUGGAACUGCGAGUGUAGAGGUGAAAUUCGUAGAUAUUCGCAAGAACACCAGUGGCGAAGGCGGCUCUCUGGAACGGUACUGACGCUGAGACGGCGAAAAGCGUGGGGAGCCGAACAGG